rnacentral:lncRNA from 1 species
GCGGAAGUUGCAGUGAGCCGAGAUUGCGCUACUGCAUUCCAGCCCGAGUGACAGAGCGAGACUCCAUCUUAACAACAACAACAAGACAAACGCACAAGAUUUGGGGACUCAGCCAGGCCGGGGUUUGGUUCUUGGUUCUGUCACUUGCUAGCUCAGUGGCUUUUGGCAAGUCAGUUUAUCUGCAGCUUCGUUGCUACCUCUACAUUAUGGAGAUGAAAGUGUCCACCUCCAAGUGUGGUUUUGAAGAUUCAAUGAGAUAAUGUGAAUAAAGUGUGUAGCGAAGUGUUUGGCACAAAGCUAAUAUUGAGUCAUUUAUUAUUACCACGGACAUUAAUAAUCAGAGGAAAAUAAGUUUUAAAGGUAAAACUUCUUUUGCGAGAAACCCUCAUGGACACAGGCAGCGGAGUGGCGAAGCGAUCCCUGAGGUCAGGUUCUGAGUUCAGAACCAGGGCAAAGCACAGAGCAAGCGGCACUCAAGUCUUCCCAGUGAAGAUGCUUUUGGUUGCAAGGAGCAGAAACUCUCUCACUGAGCUGGAGUCCUGAAUUCGUUAUGAUAUCAGGUGUCAGGGAAACCAGGCCAUGCAGCUGUGGUAAGUGUCCUAGGGUCACUCAUGGCCACCCUCUAUAGAAGCUCCCUGUGGGCUGUGAGUAAAAGUGAUGUCCAGAGAAAGGGCUGUGCGUUGAUGCCCCCAAAGGGCAUUCCCUGAAUUUUAUUUGGUUUCCUGACAUUUGCCACAGGACCACAGUUGGUGACAGAUUCCCAGGAUGCUGGCUAGGAUCGGACCCAGGCGGCACUUCUGGAUUCCUAGUUUUUGCUGGAGAGGGGUCGACUGCCAGAUUAACAGGCUGUCUGGCAAAUGGCGGCCUUCGGCAGCACUUAGGUCCGAAAACACAAAGGUUGGCCUAAGAAAACCAUAAUUAACUACACACACACACACACACACACACACACACACACACACACACACACUCACUAGAAAUAAAAGACUAGUGUCUCUUUUAAUUGUCAUUUUUAUAGCUCCCCACCGCAGCUGCCCCCCACCCUUC